ensembl:snoRNA SNORA70 Small nucleolar RNA SNORA70
UUGCAACCAACUAAGCCAACCAAGUCCCUUUCCCCAUGGGGGUCUGGUAUGUAAUUGUUGCAAACAGCAGCCUUGGUGGUGGUGUAUGUAGCCUGUUGCCUGUGUGGGUUGCCCUAAGGGACCUUGGAGAUGGCU